rnacentral:lncRNA from 1 species
CUGCGCUGCCCUCUGACUUGAGCUGGAGGGCUUCCCUAUGGUCUCUCGUCUGAGAGUCUGUCUUAGAGUCAUCCUGUCUGCAGUGCUCUUAAGAGCAGAGUUAACGCAGCCUUGUUUACAGGUUCCAGAGGAAAAUGUUUUGAAGCAGAAUCGUGAUAGCAAUACUUGCCAAUGGGUGGUUUAUAAUUAAUCAUUCCCUAUUAAAAAAAAAAAAGUGACUCAGUUUUAAAGAUUCAGAAAACCAUUACUCAAGUUCCUUGGCAGAGGAAAUGGCCAUUAUGUCGCUCCCUGCAGCUCUGCUUUUGUGGAAGAGAAAAAAAAAAGUCUUUUUAUUUGGUGUUUCUCUGAGCUGCUCAAAUGCUUUGGCCCUUGUUAGCAAGCUGAGGACAGAACAGCUCCUGCCAUUGUUGAGAAGUCCCACUCAACAGGCAAGAGCUGCCAUCUGAGCUGGGCUUGGGAAGUGACCAGGGACGUCUUUCCUGGAACCGGCAAAGGCACACGCAGAAAGGGUCUCCUUUGGCCUCUAGGUUCGUUUUCCUGCCUCCACGUCUGCUGCUUGUGAGAAGCUCACUUCUCUGGUCUCCCGCGGGGGGCCGUCCACUGCACAGCCCAAGAGGCGCCACCCGGCCACUCGGGAACCGUGCCUCUGGGACUUGCUAGCGUGAAGACCCUGUCCCUGUGGGCACCUCUUAGGUACCCUGUGUGAAACAAACACUUAUUAAGCACCCACUGAGUUCUCUGAUGUGCAGCCAGGUGGAAUUU